UCUCGAACGCGGCAUUAAAACAGAGCAUGCGCUGGCUGUUGCGUCUCGAGCAUGGAGUGGUCUCGCGUCACUUUUCAAAUUAAGAUUGAACCGGGAACGCAGCAUUAAGGAAGAGGAGCGGACACCACAACUCUGUGAAAAUGAAUGAGCUGGAGGAUAUCAGCCACCACAUUCAUGACAGGAUAUCAUCCUUACAACGCAUGCUGGAUCUGUCAGUAGUUGAAUUGCCUGAAAAUAAGGUUAGGAAACUUGGACAAGAACUCUUUGCAAUAGAGAGACUUCUGGAGGAGUUUGAACAAUGUGUUGGUCGACAGAAAGAGCAACUCAAACAUCUGAAGGUAAACUCGAGGCCUU